AGCAGCCGCGGUAAUUCCAGCUCCAAUAGCGUAUAUUAAAGUUGUUGCAGUUAAAAAGCUCGUAGUUGAAUUUCGGGAUCAAGGCGUCGGUCGUGCUUCGGUACGUACUGGCGUCAUUGAUUUCUCCCUUCUGACGAACCAUGAUGCCAUUAACUUGGUGUUAUGGGAAAUCAGGACUGUUACUUUGAAAAAAUUAGAGUGUUUAAAGCAGGCUCACGCUUGAAUACAUUAGCAUGGAAUAAUGAAAUAGGACGUUCGAUCCUAUUUUGUUGGUUUUUAGGAUCAACGUAAUGAUUAAUAGGGAUAGUUGGGGGCAUUAGUAUUCAAUUGUCAGAGGUGAAAUUCUUGGAUUUAUUGAAGACUAACUACUGCGAAAGCAUUUGCCAAGGAUGUUUUCAUUAAUCAAGAACGAAAGUUAGGGGAUCGAAGACGAUCAGAUAGCCGUCGUAGUCUUAACCAUAAACUAUGCCGACUAGGGAUCGGAUGAUGU
rnacentral:rRNA from 1 species